GCUCUCUCUCUCUCUCUUUUGUAUAUAUCUCUCUCUCUCUCCACCACGCAAACUCUCUCUCUCCUCCUCUGCAUCCUUUUCCUCCGCCAACCCUGCCUUCCUCGACGCCGUCGCCGCCUGUACAGUAUUUCCUCCUUAACCUCCACCCACCCAGCUCCUCCUUCCUCAUCUUGGCUGAACAUCCAACAACCAAAAUAGACACCGCCACCCACCUCGUCUGGUUUUCACCAUACGCGAGCCUCACCACUCUCUCUUCAUCUGAAUCGACGACAAUUUUAACCGUUUUCUGUUGCGGUGCGAAAUUUUCGGUGGUUCUGAUUUUGGAAGAGGACAGGACAGACAGCUAGAGAUCUAUGUUUAGUGAGAGUUUAGUGAGAGAAAAUGAGUUUGCAAAUUUGAAAGAAGAUAAACAAGAGAGAAAAAUGUUGUGGGCUUCAAAGAAUUUGAAAUUAAAGUCACCGAUGGAUUCAAAUUUACAUACAAGAAACAAAAUAUGUACUAUCACUUCAAGUAAUCUCCACAAACACUGCCGGAGAAGAUGAAAACCAGCUACUGGAGAUGGUGAACACAUUCAAGAUUUUCAAAAUCAAGAGCAAGUGCAGGAGAAGAUUAAAAUUCAGUAGCAGCGAAAUCUGUAAUUCAAUUUAUUUCAACCGAAAAAAAAGGUACAGAUCGACGUUUGACGUGUCUAAAUGUGAAUGGUGUUCCAAAUUAUUUUUAUUUUUUAUUUUCAGAGGGUGUUCGGUGUUCCCAAAAUAUGGAAAUUAAAGACAAAACUGCUUUUGGUUUUGGGAAAAGGUGGUAUCAAAGAGAAGACACGUGUAUGAAUCUCAAGGAGGAGGCGUAGUACGCAUGGGUGUAGCAUAGACUCUUCCGCCCAUGCCUCAAGUUUUCUUUUGUCGGUGGUUAAUGUUAUACUCUAUUCGUCCCCA
rnacentral:lncRNA from 1 species